AUUUCCAACAAGAGCCCUCGCCGCGGAUCGUGGAAUGUGGGCGGAGUGUUCUUAUUGGAUAUCCCGGAUGUUGUGACACAAACAGCACCAUCUGCUGGAUGAGCGUAGUCAGGCUGAAGAAUUGUAAAGGUUUCCGCGACACUGAUUGCCCGAGGACACAUCGGAUGUGCGGCUGCAGGAGCUGGGGAUCAAACUUUGUAAUAUUGAUUGUUCCAAAGCUGAACUAUCUGUUCCUGUCCUUCAGCAGCAUUUCAACCACAAACUUACAGUCUCACCUUCAUGCGAGGGCUGCAGCACAAACAACUUCAAAAAGUGUCAGCCUCCAUGUUUGAUGACUUCUAAACCAUGGUUUCACAACCUGCCGUUGUGUGUCUGCAUGAAGAGGUCUGCCUGCUCGACCCGUCACUGUUGUGGUUUCAGUUUGUGUGAAGCUGCUCUGCUCGACUCCGUUUCCUUUCCAGCCCAGACAGAAACAAAGCUUCGGCCUGAGAGAGGCGAAGAAAAGAUGACCCGAAACAUGAAGCCAAAGCUUUUAACAAACUGAGAUGUGAAGUCCUGCAGGAUGGAAACCCCGUCCUCAGAGUGACCACCAGCCACAACGACACCGCAGCAACCUUGAUGGAUCACAGUAGCAUGCAGCUCCUGCAGGUGGCGUCCAGCAGCCAUCGACUGGAGCAGAAGUUGGAGCGCUGCCUUUGGACCCAGAAGAGACAGUUGUGAAAACGGUUGGACGAGAGUCUGGUUUCUCUCCAGUCUGCUCCAGGAAAAGCCUGGGCGACAUUGUAUUUGUGAGCUGCAGAAUCAACACGGGGAGACACCACGGCAAAGAGUGUGAUCUGCAACCGGACAAGCUGGACUGCGACUUUGACUCCCGCUUCACUCUGGUGAAAAUGAAGCAGACGGUUUACCUCGGCUUCUCUGGUUUAACACCAGUGGACAGUGGGAGCUACACCUGUGAGUGCUCAUAUGAAAGAGGAACGCACGUUAUCCAGCUCAACAUAUCUGUGGAAGCAGAAGAAGAGGACAAUGAGAUGAUUUCUACACUCGUGAUCCCUCUAGCUGUUGCCUCAACAUUAGUCAUCACAGCUGGAAUAAUCGGAUCUAUUUACUGCAGAAGAAAGCGUAACAGAGAAGUCCCAACAGCCGUUGCAUGUGAAUUCAGCAGAUGUGAAACUCCCGAGGGUUUGGACAGCACAUACACUUCUCUAAAUUGCUUGGACCAGGAUGAACUGUACGCAGACCUCGAGCAGACGACCUGUAACAUCUACCCGGCUUUCUCAUCAUAUUUCCUUGAACAUGAUGCUGACUCUGAGAUACAGCCAACUGACAUGCUCCAUGAAACUAUGAUAGACUAUGACUAAAUUAUGUGUAUGUGUUCAACACAUUUGGAAAUACUCUGAAAAUUGAUUUACAAGCAUAGCACUGAUAAAGGUUUUUUUUCGACUUUAUUGCCUAAAAUGAUGAUUUGAUGAUGAUGGUUUUGUGUGAUAAUGAUGUUUUUUUUGAUGCCUUUAAGAACUCUUAAGAGCUGUCGAUGCUUUGCCUGUUAGCAAAACUUACAGCUGUUUGUUUGCACUUCCUUUCCUUGUUUCCUCAUUUCCUUAUCCUUGCUUGUUGGACCUAUACUCUCUGAUGUACGUUGAGGCAGCACCAGAAACUCUUGUAUUCUGUCAAAAAACAUGAACUGUUUUUGUCAAUGGGGUCUGGUGGUUUUGCAAAUGUGUGAAGACUCUUCAGCACGAUGCAUUUUUGUUGUUGUUUCCAUCGUAAUUUACUGGUAUCAUUCUACAUAUAUACCAUCUGAGUAUCAGAUCUGCAGUAAAUGGAGCGAUGCAUUGUUUUCUGACUUGCUCAUUGUGUAAUGUGUUAAAACAUUAAAGCAGAAACAGUCGGGUCGUGCACUUCCUUUAAAAAGACUUUACACCAGCCUGUUGAGUGUUUGAGGUUUAUGUAGCCAGAUGAAGAAGGUUGGUCCUCCUACCUUCACUACAGCUCACUGUACUCCCACAGCAGCAGUGAAACUGUUCAGAAGUUUGUCCAGAAUGGGCCGACGGAAACUGCUGUUUGUUCUGCUUCUGAUGCUAAUGCUUUACGUCGACAGCAAAGCGUCUCUCAUACAUCUUGAGAAAACCACGGGCAGAGAACCAAAUGUCACACCGAUAUGCAGCAGCUCAAACAUGAGUAUCAUCACCCUGAUCGUUUGUAAAGUCCGCAUGGAGAUGAGUCCUGGAGAAGAGUGUCGUUGCUGUAUCGACUCGGACGUGGUUUUGAGCACAAAUGUAACCCAAGAGUCCGACUUAAGAAAGAGAAUGAGACGAUGUUUCUGGAUUUAACCAGUUUAACACCAAUGGAUAGUGGGAACUACACCUGUGAAUGCUCACACCCUACGGGAACACAGAUCAUCCAUUUCAACAUCACCGUGAAAGGGGAUGAAGCCACAAGCGGCGUCACUGAAAUCUCUUCUGUAAAGCUGCUUGUAAUCGGUGUGAUCAUAAUAAUCAUAAUCAGUGGAGUUAUCCUUGGAUUUCUCUAUAGAAUGAUCCAUCAUGGCAACAGAAGACAACAGGACCUACCACCAAGUCCACCAGUUACGGAGCUCAUAGAAGACAUCGAGCCGUACAGCACCUUCAUGCAGAGAGAGAACGUACUUUACUCUGUUCUCCAAAUGCCCAGUCGUAAAACCAGAAGGAACCGGUCAACUAGGAUGACACCAAUUUACGGAAACCUUUAAAUACUUCUUAUUGUACGAUCUCUACUCUAAUAUGAUGCAUGGAAAACAAGUGAAACAAGAUUUUGGGUCCAUAAAAAUGCAAUAUUGGGAGGUGUACCUUCCCAUUAAGCUGUCUGACAAACAAUACAUGAAUGUUCUCAAGUGUAUAAAUGAUUCUGUAAGAACAGCUACAAACCUUAUAAUUAAAUAUAUCGACCUUCUUUAAGAACUAUUUGUCAGUGUUUAGUUUCUCUUCAGGUCUCAUCAUUUCAUCGGGGCUUUAAAUUUGAGUUGUUAAACAUCAGAUGUUCAGUUAAUCAAGUCCUGCUGUUGGCCUCACGUUUACAUUUUUUAGUUUCCAUCAUGAACUUCCUGUUUUUGCAAACAAUCUACCUUGCGGCUUUCUUUUAAGCCGCCUCCAUCACGUUGCGGACGCCCCUCCGCCUCCUUCACAUUUCCUUCACUCAGUGGUCUGCACAGAGACGGCCUUACAGAGUGAGAACCAGCGGACGCCUCUUCAUCUUCUUUUACAGAUAUUUCCAUCUCAUGCUUUGUAUUGCUGGUGUCCUUGCUGGUAACAUGGAUUCUCUUCUCCUUUCGGGUGAUGGUGGCUGCCUCAUAAACCUUUGAACCAUCUGAGUAUCAGAUUAAAGGCCUGAGGUGGAUGGAGCGAUUCAUUAGCAUUGUUUUCUGACAAAAACAUUAAAGCAGAAACAGUCUGGUGUGCACUUCCUUUAAAAAGACUUUACACAAGCCUGUUGGGGUUUGAGGUUUAUGUAGCCAAAGGAAGAAGGUUGGUCCUCUUGCCUUCACUACAGCUCACUGUCAGCAGUGAAACUGUUCAGAAGUUUGUCCAGAAUGGGCCGACAGAAACUGCUGUUUGUUCUGCUUCUGAUGCUAACGCUUUACGUCGACAGCAAAGCGUCUCUCAUACAUCUUGAGAAAACCACGGGCAGAGAACCAAAUGUCACACCGAUAUGCAGCAGCUCAAACAUGAGUAUCAUCAGCCUGAUCAUUUGUAAAGUCCGCAUGGAGAUGAGUCCUGGAGAAGAGUGUCAAUUGCUGUAUCGACUCGGACAUGAUUUUGAGCACAAAUGUAACCCAAGAGUCCGACUUAAGAAAGAGAAUGAGACGAUGUUUCUGGAUUUAACCAGUUUAACACCAAUGGAUAGUGGGAUCUACACCUGUGAAUGCUCACUCCCUGGGGCAACAAAGAUCAUCCACCUCAACAUCACCGUGAAAGGGGAUGAAGCCACAAGCGGCGUCACUGAAAUCUCUUCUGUAAAGCUGCUUGUAAUCGGUGUGAUCAUAAUAAUCAUAAUCAGUGGAGUUAUCCUUGGAUUUCUCUACAGAAUGAUCCAUCAUGGCAACAGAAGACAACAGGACCUACCACCAAGUCCACCAGUUACGGAGCUCAUAGAAGACAUCGAGCCGUACAGCACCUUCGUGCAGAGAGAGAACGUACUUUACUCUGUUCUCAAAAUGCCCAGUCGUAAAAACCAGAAGGAACCAGUCAACUAGGAUGACACCAAUUUACGGAAACCUUUAAAUACUUCUUAUUGUACGAUCUCUACUCUAAUGUGAUGCAUGGAAAACAAGUGAAACAAGAUUUUGGGUCCAUAAAAAUGCAAUAUUGGGAGGUGUACCUUCGUUUUUAACCCAUUAAGCUGUCUGACAAACAAUACAUGAAUGUUCUCAAGUGUAUAAAUGAUCCUGAAAGAACAGUUACAAACCUUUUAAUUAAAUAUAUCGACCUUCUUUAAGAACUAUUGGUCAGUGUUUAAUAUCUCUUCAGGUUUCAUAAUUUCAUCGGGGGUUUAAAUUUGAGUUAAUCAAGUCCUGACAGAAGUCGGAACGCCUCUCCAUCUUGUUUAACAGAUGUUUCCAGACAGUAGUUCUUACAUUAUGAGGGUUCUUAUGAUAGUUGGGUUAAUUAUGUUUGGGUUCUCAUGCUUUGUGUUGCUGGUGUCCUUGCUGGUAACAUGGAUUCUCUUCUCCUUUCGGGUGAUGGUGGCUGCCUCAUAAACCUUUGAACCAUCUGAGUAUCAGAUUAAAGGCCUGAGAUAGAUGGAGCAAUUCAUUAGCAUUGUUUUCUGACAAAAACAUUAAAGCAGAAACAGUCUGGUUGUGCACUUCCUUUGAGAAGACUUUACACCAGCCUGUUGGGGUUUGAGGUUUAUGUAGCCAAAGGAAGAAGGUUGGUCCUCUUGCCUUCACUACAGCUCACUGUCAGCAGUGAAACUGUUCAGAAGUUUGUCCAGAAUGGGCCGACGGAAACUGCUGUUUGUUCUGCUUCUGAUGCUAACGCUUUACGUCGACAGCAAAGCGUCUCUCAUACAUCUUGAGAAAACCACGGGCAGAGAACCAAAUGUCACACCGAUAUGCAGCAGCUCAAACAUGAGUAUCAUCAGCCUGAUCAUUUGUAAAGUCCGCAUGGUGAUGAGUCCUGGAGAAGAGUGUCGUUUGCUGUACCGACACGGACAUGAUUUUGAGCACAAAUGUAACCCAAGAGUCCGACUUAAGAAAGAGAAUGAGACGAUGUUUCUGGAUUUAACCAGUUUAACACCAAUGGAUAGUGGGAUCUACACCUGUGAAUGCUCACGGAA